UUAGUGUUCAGACAUUUGACUUUCUUUCCCUUCACAUUUCGAACUAUAAAAUUGUGUGAAAUUUCUCAAACUCUUUCGUGCUUUCGUGUUUGAAGUCUCCUCCUCAACAUGGCAUUGAUUCUUCACGACGGGGUUGCGGAACUAGGACUUUCACACGAAACGACGGGGCUUGGAUAGAGAACUUCCGGAAAGUCAGUCGGUUUUUUCCAGCCAACGGUCAAUAUGUCGUAAUCAGAUGACGACUUGAACCGGCAGAAGAGAAAGAACAGGAAAUGCGCAGUCACAUCGCACAGGAACUUAACCGGAGCCAGUUGAGACUAAAGGGAAUAACCAAAGAAGGAGGAGGCAAUUGGAGCCGAUAGUGGACCAGUUGUCCGUUCUUUUGCGUCCAGCCAGCGGAGGACGGGGGUGGUAGCGGGGGGUGGACAAGAAACAAGCUGAUGUGUAAAUAAGAUCUCCUUCGCAGCCCGCGACAUUUGGCUGGGAUAGAAGAUGAAGCUCGGCUUGGCAUCGUCCGUCUCAAUUCCGGGUGCCCCCACUGGAUAAGAGAAUUUUCCUUUUCUUUUAUUUAAAAAAAAAGGGAAACGAAACGACACUGACCGUAUGCGGGUUUAUGGUGUAACAUGUAAGUUAUCUCUCUCGACACACCGAGGUGAAGAUCGGUGGAGACGCUAAUUACUGAACCUCAUUGUGAAAAGAUUUUUGGUUUUUUCUUCGGAGGAGGGUUAACCGACGCACGGGAGAUGCAGGGCAAUUUGUAUCUCCCGCCAACGGAAAACUGAGUUUGUUACAAAAAGGCCUAUUGUCUCCCGACCUGCGCCUUGUGUAGUGACCUCGACUUCUGCGCCCAACCAUCUACCGACGGAUUGUGGAAUCCAUUGGAUGAAGCUGCUGGACUGAGAAAGCCGACGAAGGAACAACAAUCGGCAGAUGAGAAUGAAGGAGAGGCGAGGACAACAUUAAACAACAUCACCCGAAAAAAAAAAAAAAAAAUGUAAGAACUGUUGUUGCCAACGAUAUGUGUGUGCAAGUCGUUACUGGACGUCCGCCGAUCCAUCA